rnacentral:rRNA from 1 species
GAUGAACGCUGGCGGCGUGCUUAACACAUGCAAGUCGAACGAUGAUCCCUAGCUUGCUGGGGGGAUUAGUGGCGAACGGGUGAGUAACACGUGAGUAACCUGCCCUUGACUCUGGGAUAAGCCUGGGAAACUGGGUCUAAUACUGGAUAUGACCGACUAUCGCAUGGUGGUUGGUGGAAAGCUUUUGUGGUUUUGGAUGGACUCGCGGCCUAUCAGCUUGUUGGUGGGGUAAUGGCCUACCAAGGCGACGACGGGUAGCCGGCCUGAGAGGGUGGACGGCCACACUGGGACUGAGACACGGCCCAGACUCCUACGGGAGGCAGCAGUGGGGAAUAUUGCACAAUGGGCGCAAGCCUGAUGCAGCGACGCCGCGUGAGGGAUGAAGGCCUUCGGGUUGUAAACCUCUUUCAGUAGGGAAGAAGCGAAAGUGACGGUACCUGCAGAAGAAGCGCCGGCUAACUACGUGCCAGCAGCCGCGGUAAUACGUAGGGCGCAAGCGUUAUCCGGAAUUAUUGGGCGUAAAGAGCUCGUAGGCGGUUUGUCGCGUCUGCCGUGAAAGUCCGGGGCUUAACUCCGGAUCUGCGGUGGGUACGGGCAGACUUGAGUGAUGUAGGGGAGACUGGAAUUCCUGGUGUAGCGGUGAAAUGCGCAGAUAUCAGGAGGAACACCGAUGGCGAAGGCAGGUCUCUGGGCAUUAACUGACGCUGAGGAGCGAAAGCAUGGGGAGCGAACAGGAUUAGAUACCCUGGUAGUCCAUGCCGUAAACGUUGGGCACUAGGUGUGGGGGACAUUCCACGUUUUCCGCGCCGUAGCUAACGCAUUAAGUGCCCCGCCUGGGGAGUACGGCCGCAAGGCUAAAACUCAAAGGAAUUGACGGGGGCCCGCACAAGCGGCGGAGCAUGCGGAUUAAUUCGAUGCAACGCGAAGAACCUUACCAAGGCUUGACAUGAACCGGAACGGCGCAGAGAUGUGUCGGCCACUUGUGGCCGGUUUACAGGUGGUGCAUGGUUGUCGUCAGCUCGUGUCGUGAGAUGUUGGGUUAAGUCCCGCAACGAGCGCAACCCUCGUUCCAUGUUGCCAGCGGGUUAUGCCGGGGACUCAUGGGAGACUGCCGGGGUCAACUCGGAGGAAGGUGGGGACGACGUCAA